rnacentral:lncRNA from 10 species
CUGUUUGAAACGUGUUUUUUUUUCUUGUUUUUCUGUAGGAUAUCACUACUUUAACUGGAGUUCCAGAAGAGCAUAUAAAAACUAGAAAAGUCAGGAUCUUUGUUCCUGCUCGCAAUAACAUGCAGUCUGGAGUAAACAACACAAAGAAAUGGAAGAUGGAGUUUGAUACCAGAGAGCGAUGGGAAAAUCCUUUGAUGGGUUGGGCAUCAACGGCUGAUCCCUUAUCCAACAUGGUUCUAACCUUCAGUACUAAAGAAGAUGCAGUUUCCUUUGCAGAAAAAAAUGGUAUGUUUGGUCUGUUUUUGACAAAGUCAAGAUAAUGAUUUUAUGUUCUUAACCUUAAUUAAAACCAAUUAAGUAUACAGAAUUUGAGUUGGAAUCCAGUGGUUUCAUUGUAUCUAAUCCAGUGGUUUCAGACUUUAACUACAUCAGAACACCCACCUCCAAAAA